rnacentral:tRNA from 1 species
GGGGAUGUGGCUCAGUGGUAAAGCACUUGCCUUGCAUGUGUGAGGCCCUGAGUUCAAUCCUCAUAAUCACCA